rnacentral:rRNA from 1 species
CCUACGGGUGGCAGCAGUAGGGAAUCUUUCACAAUGGGCGAAAGCCUGAUGGAGCAACGCCGCGUGCAGGACGAAGGCCCUCGGGUUGUUAACUGUCUUUUUAAGCGAGACAUAUGAUGGUAACUUAUGCUUACGGAUCGGCUAACUACGUGCCAGCAGCCGCGGUCAUACGUAGGAGGCGAGCAUUAUCCGGAGUGACUGGGUGUAAAGAGUGGCGUAGGUGGCAUAAUAAGUAGCUAGUGAAAUCUGGUGGCUCAACCAUUCAGACUAUUGGCUAAACUGUUAAGCUCGAGACCGUUAGGGGUAACUGGAAUGUCUAGUGUAGGAGUGAAAUCCGUAGAUAUUAGAAAGAACACCGAUAGCGAAGGCAGGUUACUGGGACGGUUCUGACACUAAGGCACGAAAGCGUAGGGAGCAAACGGGAUUAGAUACCCGAGUAGUC